rnacentral:tRNA from 1 species
CCGUAGCUCAAUGGAUAGAGCGUCUGACUUCGGAUCAGAAGGUUGGGGGUUCGAGUCCUCCCGGG